rnacentral:sRNA from 1 species
GAAGAAGAUGGCGGAAGGCGGAGCGGCGGAUCUGGACACCCAGCGGUCUGACAUCGCGACGCUGCUCAAAACCUCGCUCCGGAAAGGGGACACCUGGUACCUAGUCGAUAGUCGCUGGUUCAAACAGUGGAAAAAAUAUGUUGGCUUUGACAGUUGGGACAAAUACCAGAUGGGAGAUCAAAAUGUGUAUCCUGGACCCAUUGAUAACUCUGGACUUCUCAAAGAUGGUGAUGCCCAGUCACUUAAGGAACAUCUUAUUGAUGAAUUGGAUUACAUACUGUUGCCAACUGAAGGUUGGAAUAAACUUGUCAGCUGGUACACAUUGAUGGAAGGUCAAGAGCCAAUAGCACGAAAGUGUCAACACUCAAAGAAUGGAUGAAAAGAAAGCAGGGAUAUAAGCAGAAAAUACAAUGGAAUCAAAAUCCAAGAGAAACAGCAGACCAUAGAAACAGACCCAUAAGAAACCCAGGUAAUUGAGUUAUUAGAUUUUAGAAUAGUGGGCUUAUUAUGCUAAAAAAAAAAAAAAAAAAAAAAAGGCAGAUGAGUAGUAGGGCAAAACUAUUAAAGAAGAAGCAAAUAGAAUUCU